rnacentral:lncRNA from 1 species
GUUCGGGUACGCCGACAGACUGCCGAAUGGACAGAGUUUUCCUUGUACGUCCUAGGCGUCGCAAUCAAUACCAACAAGGGUUCCAACCAGGAACAGUAUUCAAUAUACAAAUUGCAUAAGUAUAAAAAACAUAAACCGCUAACUAUUACAAGCAUUCACAUACAUGCUUUUACAUUUCAAUUACAUACUACAUUUAACUUCCAAAAUACAAUCUAAGUUAUUACAAGUUUAUUACAACUUUUACUUUUUUCCUUCCCUCUACCCCUAGGCU